UGAUUGCUGAGCAUAUCAAGAGAAAGUAAUUACACAGAGACUCACAUCAGAUCACAAACUCACUUCAUCUCACUGCAGUAAUGGCAAAGUGGAUGAUUAUUGCUCUUUUACUUACAGCUCAUGAAUCUGGUAGUAACUCUCAGGAGAGUGUUGACCAGAGUAAAAGAUUUCAAACAGCUUUUGAAGGAGAAACUGUAAAUAUCACAUGUACAUUUGAAACCACAUAUACAUCACCAGAACUCUUCUGGUACCAGCAAAGAGUAAAUGAAUUCCCAAAGUACAUGUUGAACAGAUUUGAUACUGAUAAAGAGUUCAAAGAGAGAUUUCAUGGACAUUUCAGCACAUCUUCAAAAUCAUUUCCAUUGAUAAUUCAGGAUCUUCAUGUGUCUGAUUCUGCUGUGUAUUACUGUGCUCUGCGGCCCACAGUCACUAAAACACAUUCAACACUCAUACAAUAACCUUUAACAGUUUAA